GAUGAACGCUGGCGGCGUGCCUAAUACAUGCAAGUCGAGCGAACAGACGAGGAGCUUGCUCCUCUGACGUUAGCGGCGGACGGGUGAGUAACACGUGGAUAACCUACCUAUAAGACUGGGAUAACUUCGGGAAACCGGAGCUAAUACCGGAUAAUAUAUUGAACCGCAUGGUUCAAUAGUGAAAGACGGUUUUGCUGUCACUUAUAGAUGGAUCCGCGCCGCAUUAGCUAGUUGGUAAGGUAACGGCUUACCAAGGCGACGAUGCGUAGCCGACCUGAGAGGGUGAUAGGCCACAAUGGAACGGAGACACGGUCCAGACUCCUACGGGAGGCAGCAGUAGGGAAUCUUCCGCAAUGGGCGAAAGCCUGACGGAGCAACGCCGCGUGAGUGAUGAAGGUAUUCGGAUCGUAAAACUCUGUUAUUAGGGAAGAACAAAUGUGUAAGUAACUAUGCACGUCUUGACGGUACCUAAUCAGAAAGCCACGGCUAACUACGUG
rnacentral:rRNA from 1 species